GACGAACGCUGGCGGCGUGCUUAACACAUGCAAGUCGAACGGAAAGGCCCUGCUUGCAGGGUACUCGAGUGGCGAACGGGUGAGUAACACGUGGGUGAUCUGCCCUGCACUUCGGGAUAAGCCUGGGAAACUGGGUCUAAUACCGGAUAGGAGCCAUUUUUAGUGUGAUGGUUGGAAAGUUUUUUCGGUGUAGGAUGAGCUCGCGGCCUAUCAGUUUGUUGGUGGGGUAAUGGCCUACCAAGGCGGCGACGGGUAGCCGGCCUGAGAGGGUGGACGGCCACAUUGGGACUGAGAUACGGCCCAGACUCCUACGGGAGGCAGCAGUGGGGAAUAUUGCACAAUGGGCGCAAGCCUGAUGCAGCGACGCCGCGUGGGGGAUGACGGCCUUCGGGUUGUAAACUCCUUUCGCUAGGGACGAAGCUUUUUGUGACGGUACCUAGAUAAGAAGCACCGGCUAACUACGUG
rnacentral:rRNA from 1 species